rnacentral:rRNA from 1 species
GACGAACGCUGGCGGCGUGGAUUAGGCAUGCAAGUCGAACGGUAUCAUCCUUUCGGGGGUGAGAGAGUGGCGAACUGGUGAGUAACACGUAGGUUAUCUACCCUCAAGACGGGGACAACCCAGGGAAACUUGGGCUAAUACCGGAUGUGAGCAACUUUUAGUUGUUUGAAAGGUGGCGUAAGCUGUCGCUUGGGGAUGAGCCUGCGUCCUAUUAGUUAGUUGGUGAGGUAACGGCUCACCUAGGCAAUGAUAGGUAGGCGGCCUUAACGGGUGGUCGCCCACACUGGGAUUGAGAUACGGCCCAGACUCCUACGGGAGGCAGCAGUCGAGAAUAGUCUACAAUGGUCGGAAGACUGAUAGUGCGACGCCGCGUGAACGAUGAAUCCCUUCGGGGUGUAAAGUUCUUUUAUAUGUGAGCAGUGCUUCUUAUAUUAACAGUAUGGGGAGAGAGAUAUUAGCAUAUGAAUAAGCAACGGCCUAAACUCCGUAGCCAGCAGCCGCGGUAAUAC